GGAGUCACAGCAUUCACACACCUCAGCUCCAUGCACAGACAGCCAUCUAUGGAAACGGAGGCCACAGGACCCUGCUCUGAUGGUCUGACUGCUCACUCAUGUCACAUUUUACAACAAUUAUGGGUAUUGAAGUGGUAAAACACAUGUGAAUCAUCAGUAGAACACACCCAGCUCUACUCCACCAGUCAUACAUGGAGAAUGGUCUAAUGCCUCCAAUCGAAAAGAGAGCUGGCCUAAGCAAGCAUGAGGACUUGCAGCGAGUUGUGAACUUAAUCAACAACUACACAGGAUAAUGCAAUAAUAUUACCAGGACACCACCCAGGACACAAACACUUUGGUGGAAAGCUGCUGCCAUCCCAUGUGACAAUAGCAGUGAUGUGGCAUCUCUACAAGGAAUCGAUGACAACACUUGAGGCUCCACCACAGUCUGGACCUUCACUUCCUGAUCACAGGCCACAUCAGGUUUUUCUCCGACUGGUGCUCCGGCCUCAUCAAGCAGCGCUUCAGAAAGACCAGAGUGAACACUUUGUCUGAGAUUGCUGGUGUUGUGAAACAGCACUGUGACAGGGGUCAUCAUAUGCCCUGCACCAAAGUUAAGGGCAGGACAGAAACAGGCUCUCCGAAUAUAGAUUCCCUUGUUCCAUGUGUGGUUCGGAUGGAUCUGCCAUCAGCACUAUCUGCAGUGCAUCUAUUCAUAUGACUCUCUCCUAACAUACGUUGCUGCUACUAUUUUUUUUUUUAUCCUGUUGCUCAGCCACUUUACCC